rnacentral:rRNA from 1 species
GACGAACGCUGGCGGCGUGCUUAACUCAUGCAAGUCGAACGGUGAAGCGCCUUCCUUUUUGGUGGGUGUGGAUGAGUGGCGAACGGGUGAGUAACACGUGAGUAACCUGCCCCCUUCUUCUGGAUAACCGCAUGAAAGUGUGGCUAAUACGGGAUAUUCUGGGUCUGUCGCAUGAUGGGUCUGGGAAAGAUAUUGUUUCGGUGGGGGAUGGGCUCGCGGCCUAUCAGCUUGUUGGUGGGGUGAUGGCCUACCAAGGCGGUGACGGGUAGCCGGCCUGAGAGGGUGGACGGUCACACUGGGACUGAGACACGGCCCAGACUCCUACGGGAGGCAGCAGUGGGGACUAUUGCACAAUGGGCGCAAGCCUGAUGCAGCGACGCCGCGUGAGGGAUGGAGGCCUGCGGGUUGUGAACCUCUUUCGCCAGUGAAGCAGGCCUGCCUCGUUUGUGGGUGGGUUGACGGUAGCUGGAUAAGAAGCGCCGGCUAACUACGUG